rnacentral:rRNA from 1 species
AAUUGAAGAGUUUGAUCAUGGCUCAGAUUGAACGCUGGCGGCAGGCUUAACACAUGCAAGUCGAACGGUAGCAGGAAGAAGCUUGCUUCUUUGCUGACGAGUGGCGGACGGGUGAGUAAUGCUUGGGAAUCUGGCUUAUGGAGGGGGAUAACUACGGGAAACUGUAGCUAAUACCGCGUAGUAUCGGGAGAUGAAAGACUGGGACCGCAAGGCCAGUUGCCAUAAGAUGAGCCCAAGUGGGAUUAGGUAGUUGGUGGGGUAAAGGCCUACCAAGCCGACGAUCUCUAGCUGGUCUGAGAGGAUGACCAGCCACACUGGAACUGAGACACGGUCCAGACUCCUACGGGAGGCAGCAGUGGGGAAUAUUGCACAAUGGGGGGAACCCUGAUGCAGCCAUGCCGCGUGAAUGAAGAAGGCCUUCGGGUUGUAAAGUUCUUUCGGUGAUGAGGAAGGGUGAUGUUUUAAUAGAGCAUUACAUUGACGUUAGUCACAGAAGAAGCACCGGCUAACUCCGUGCCAGCAGCCGCGGUAAUACGGAGGGUGCGAGCGUUAAUCGGAAUGACUGGGCGUAAAGGGCACGCAGGCGGUGACUUAAGUGAGAUGUGAAAGCCCCGAGCUUAACUUGGGAAUUGCAUUUCAUACUGGGUUGCUAGAGUAUUUUAGGGAGGGGUAGAAUUCCACGUGUAGCGGUGAAAUGCGUAGAGAUGUGGAGGAAUACCGAAGGCGAAGGCAGCCCCUUGGGAAAAUACUGACGCUCAUGUGCGAAAGCGUGGGGAGCAAACAGGAUUAGAUACCCUGGUAGUCCACGCUGUAAACGCUGUCGAUUUGGGGAUUGGGCUUAGAGCUUGGUGCCCGUAGCUAACGUGAUAAAUCGACCGCCUGGGGAGUACGGCCGCAAGGUUAAAACUCAAAUGAAUUGACGGGGGCCCGCACAAGCGGUGGAGCAUGUGGUUUAAUUCGAUGCAACGCGAAGAACCUUACCUACUCUUGACAUCCUAAGAAG